GACGAACGCUGUCGGCGUGCUUAACACAUGCAAGUCGAACGGAAAGGCCCUGCUUUUGUGGGGUGCUCGAGUGGCGAACGGGUGAGUAACACGUGAGUAACCUGCCCUUGACUUUGGGAUAACUUCAGGAAACUGGGGCUAAUACCGGAUAGGAGCUCCUGCUGCAUGGUGGGGGUUGGAAAGUUUCGGCGGUUGGGGAUGGACUCGCGGCUUAUCAGCUUGUUGGUGGGGUAGUGGCUUACCAAGGCUUUGACGGGUAGCCGGCCUGAGAGGGUGACCGGCCACAUUGGGACUGAGAUACGGCCCAGACUCCUACGGGAGGCAGCAGUGGGGAAUAUUGCACAAUGGGCGGAAGCCUGAUGCAGCAACGCCGCGUGCGGGAUGACGGCCUUCGGGUUGUAAACCGCUUUCGCCUGUGACGAAGCGUGAGUGACGGUAAUGGGUAAAGAAGCACCGGCUAACUACGUGCCAGCAGCCGCGGUGAUACGUAGGGUGCGAGCGUUGUCCGGAUUUAUUGGGCGUAAAGGGCUCGUAGGUGGUUGAUCGCGUCGGAAGUGUAAUCUUGGGGCUUAACCCUGAGCGUGCUUUCGAUACGGGUUGACUUGAGGAAGGUAGGGGAGAAUGGAAUUCCUGGUGGAGCGGUGGAAUGCGCAGAUAUCAGGAGGAACACCAGUGGCGAAGGCGGUUCUCUGGGCCUUUCCUGACGCUGAGGAGCGAAAGCGUGGGGAGCGAACAGGCUUAGAUACCCUGGUAGUCCACGCUGUAAACGGUGGGUACUAGGUGUGGGGUCCAUUCCACGGGUUCCGUGCCGUAGCUAACGCUUUAAGUACCCCGCCUGGGGAGUACGGCCGCAAGGCUAAAACUCAAAGGAAUUGACGGGGCCCCGCACAAGCGGCGGAGCAUGCGGAUUAAUUCGAUGCAACGCGUAGAACCUUACCUGGGUUUGACAUGGAUCGGGAGUGCUCAGAGAUGGGUGUGCCUCUUUUGGGGUCGGUUCACAGGUGGUGCAUGGCUGUCGUCAGCCCGUGUCGUGAGAUGUUGGGUUAAGUCCCGCAACGAGCGCAACCCUUGUUCACUGUUGCCAGCACGUUAUGGUGGGGACUCAGUGGAGACCGCCGGGGUCAACUCGGAGGAAGGUGGGGAUGACGUCAAGUCAUCAUGCCCCUUAUGUCCAGGGCUUCACGCAUGCUACAAUGGCUGGUACAGAGAGUGGCGAGCCUGUGAGGGUGAGCGAAUCUCGGAAAGCCGGUCUCAGUUCGGAUUGGAGUCUGCAACUCGACCUCAUGAAGUCGGAGUCGCUAGUAAUCGCAGAUCAGCAACGCUGCGGUGAAUACGUUCCCGGG
rnacentral:rRNA from 1 species